GCGCUCCUCGUUAGUAUAGUGGUGAGUAUCCCCGCCUGUCACGCGGGAGACCGGGGUUCGAUUCCCCGACGGGGAGGUGACAUCGCCUUUUAUCCCCCGGGACCGCUCCUGCCUCCUCCGGACCCGGUCCCGCGGCGCGCGAGGGAGGGAAGGAGGGAGGCGGCUCUUUUCGGUGGGGCUUCCCCCGCGCCGGGAGGUUCGUGUCCGUGCGGGGGGUGCGGCCGCGGACUGGAGGAGGGAGAGAAACGAAAGGGUUUGAAGUCUCCUUUUUUUUAGCAACACUCGUCGCCCCGAUUAAUGCCCGUGCUGCUCUGCCGCGGCUCCCUGGCAUUACCCGCCGACGCGGAGUUUAACGAGAGCGGCGGUAGUAGCGCCGCGGAUCCGGUCCCGGCAGGAAUUCCACCCGCGCCGUGUCCGUAGUAGCGCCUCAGGUGCGCGCACCCAGAAGGGAUUCACGAGGGCCGUGGCGGAUGGUAACACGGAAGUGAACGCGGUGGCCCCCGGCGGGAAGCUUGACUUGGGCGAUCGGGCGGCGACAGCGACCUUGAUUCGGCGCGGGACAUGUCCCCACGCCGCCCGGGCGCAGGGACAGCCGGCACCCGCAGCUCAGGAACCCGCGACAGACGUUCCUCGACUGGGUUUGUGCCGAGAGUCAAAAGAACAAUCGUUCCGGGGCUGGGAACAGUGUGAAGUGCUAUUUAGAGACCCUGGGGGCAACGGGCAACACCUGAUCCAUCUCUGACCUCCUCGGCAAAUGAGCUGGCCUGAGGCAGGGGUGUUAUCCUGUCGUGACCACAGCUGACAUGCUCAAUGCUGAAAGAUUUUCUCCUCAAAUGGACAGCCAGCCUUCCCCUCUCCUCAGGUAACAUGGUGCCCCAACCCGGAUUCUCCCAGAUACUGAUCAGCCAAGUCAUGCUACUGCAGCAUCAAAAUACAUGUGAUUAAGUACCA